UACAGAGGUCUCAAGCGUUGUUCGGAUUCAUUGGGCGUAAAGGGUGCGUAGGUGGCGCGCUAAGUCAGGUGUGAAAUUUCGGAGCUUAACUCCGAAACUGCAUUUGAUACUGGUGUGCUUGAGGACUGGAGAGGAGACUGGAAUUCAUGGUGUAGCAGUGAAAUGCGUAGAGAUCAUGAGGAAGACCAGUGGCGAAGGCGGGUCUCUGGACAGUUCCUGACACUGAGGCACGAAGGCCAGGUGAGCAAACGGG
rnacentral:rRNA from 1 species